GGUCCCGUAGCUCAGCAGGUCAGAGCACUGCCUUGUCACGGCAGAGGCCGCCGGUUCAAGUCCGGCCGGGGCCGCCU
rnacentral:tRNA from 1 species